AGCCAGUGUAUGCGCAUGCGCAGAGAGAAAGUUGCUUAGCUACGAAAUCCACCAAGAGACUGAAAAGGUGCUUCAGUUUGAUGUUCUCGUUCAGUUGCAGCUUUAAAGGAUGGAUGGAGUAAUUAUAUUAUUUAUGGAGCUGACUGCCAAGGCCAGCUAGCAAGAAAAGAGAGAGAGAGGAACUGCUAGAUGUCUCUGCAAUUAUUCUUUCACUGUCUCUAGGAGUCUAGCUCUAUAGGCUACAAGAUCUGGUUGCCUCUGACGCAGGUUGUUGACUUCUUCUACAACGUUUAAUAUAAGAAUACACAUCUAAAAAGGACCUCUACAACGACUACUAUAUAAAUGUACCUGUGUCUAUGUCAUCAUUACUGUACUGAUUGAGCUCGAGAUUGAGGUUCCUUGUCACACUACUUGAGAAUAUGUACAUAUAUAAAUUGGAAUGCUCAUGCCAUCAAUGAUUUCAACCCAUCAUGACCAGAAGCAUCGUGGACACACCUAUACUUUAGGAACUAUCAGAAUUUGGCAGUUAAGUUACUGGCUGUGGACAUGGCUGGUCUGUGACAGUACAAACAGUCAAACAAAAAAUGUAUAAUGUGACAGAGGACAUGGCUGGUCUGUGGACAGUACGAACAGUCGAACAACACAUUAUAUUGUGACAGAGGACAUGGCUGGUCUGUGGACAGUACGAACAGUCGAACAACACAUUAUAUUGUGACAGAGGACAUGGCUGGUCUGUGGACAGUACGAACAGUCGAACAACACAUUAUAUUGUGUGACAGAGGACAUGGCUGGUAGUACAAACAGUCAAACAGAAAAUUUAUAAAUUGACACACUCGAGCAGCACAAGCACUAGAAGAAACAUUCCUAUUAGUGUUGUAAACUGUCGAACUGUCUGGCUAUGUUUGUUUCUUAAAAAUUUUAACACUUCGUUGAAUUAUUCAUGCCAAA